rnacentral:tRNA from 1 species
ACUUACGUAGUUUAUAUAAAACACUAUAUUUUCAUUAUAGAAAUAAAAAUUAAUUUUUCUUAAGUU